UAAGAUGGCGUCGCUGUGAGUUCACCUUAGGCGCCGGAGGUCCCGAGAGAGCGAGGGGAGAUCAUCGACAUCCAUUGCC
rnacentral:pre_miRNA from 1 species